rnacentral:rRNA from 1 species
CCUACGGGUGGCAGCAGUGAGGAAUAUUGGUCAAUGGGCGCGAGCCUGAACCAGCCAAGUAGCGUGAAGGAUGACUGCCCUACGGGUUGUAAACUUCUUUUAUAAAGGAAUAAAGUGAGGCACGUGUGCCUUUUUGUAUGUACGUUAUGAAUAAGGAGCGGCUAACUCCGUGCCAGCAGCCGCGGUAAUACGGAGGAUCCGAGCGUUAUCCGGAUUUAGUGGGUUUAAAGGGAGCGUAGAUGGGUUGUUAAGUCAGUUGUGAAAGUUUGCGGCUCAACCGGAAAAUUGCAAUUGAUACUGGCAGUCUUGAGUACAGUUGAGGUAGGCGGCAUUCGUGUUGUCGCGGUGCAAUGCUUAGCUGUCACGAAGACCUCCGCUUGCG